UGAAAAUCCCUCAACUUAGUAUACUAGGUCUGCCGAGUGACGCAGCGGUCUAAGGCACUGCAUCUCAGUGCCUGACUUGCCAAGUUAAAUAAAGGUUAAAUAAAAUACAUUUAAAAAAUGAAAGGUCAGGGGUACACCAACGCUAUUUGUGAAGGUUCGGUCACACAAGUUUAAAGGUGGCAAAGAUCCAGAUGGAUAUUAUUAUUUAUUGGAGUGACACAAACAUUACAACAAAAUCAAAAGUAAGUUGAGUUUAUUAUUUUAAUUUUAUUUUUUUACCUGCAGUCCGUAUUGACCCCAUUCUGGAUCACAGUCCGGCUAUUGAGUAUUGCUGGCCUAUGUCAAAAUCUAAAUAUCUAAAUGAGUUAUGUUACAGAUAUUUGUAUUAUCUCUUGAAAAUAACAUAAUGCCUGAGAAAUCAGUACUAUAUGAACCACUGUUUUGAGACAGUGCCACAUGACCUGCAAAAUGGCGUCGAUAAAGAUGGAAGCUUCGCUUCUAGUCCUUAGAAAACUGUGCAGUAUUUUGUUUUUUAUGUAUUAUUUCUUACAUUGUUAGCCCAGAAAACAACCGGGAAUAACUAUUGGAUAUCAGACAGACGUCAACUUACCAGCACAACCAGCACCACAACCAGGAAUACGACUUUCCCAAAGCGGAUCCUUUGUCUGCACCUCCCAGGGCACUUGAACUGAUUCCAAAGGCCGACCCAAAACAAAGCCGCCGGAGGAGAGGAUGCCGGAGCGGAUGUCAAGUGAGGCUUCGGAUGCACGCACACCACCCACCUCUUCCGAGUAUAUUACUUGCUAAUGUCCAGUCCCUAGAUAAAAAAAAGUUUACGAGAUUUGGGCAAGGGUUGCUUUCCAGAGAGACAUCAGGGAUUGUAAUAUACUGUUUCACGGAAACAUGGCUCUAUUGGGAUAUACUGUCGGAGUCAGUAUGUUAUUUGAAUGGACAAAAAUGUGCUUUUCUUUCAAAAACAAGGACAUUUCUAAGUGACCCCAAACGUUUGAACGGCUGCUGUGGUCAGAGGUCCUAAAUUCCUGAGAAGACCUCAUGGACACACAGUUAUAGAGAGUCGUUUUUCAUGGAGGCAAAGGAAAUCCUUCCACCUCACAGAACUUGAGAUACGAACCAAUUUCAUGUUCCGGAGAAAGUGUAAAAGAUCGGUGAAGAAUCAAGCUACGAACUGGUCCGUUUGUCACAACUUGGGAAGCUCAUGGGAGACGGUGUGACCACAUUACCAUAACGCUGUUUAUAUAAUAGCCACAGAGAUAAGGUUUACAUCUAAUUGUAGUAUUAGAUGAAUGAGUGAGUAUGAUACUGUUUACACAAUUUUACAAUAUGAUUUUGGACUGUUUAAUGAAGGAAAACUCAAAAAAGGGAAUUGGAUUUGAACUAAAUCAGAGGACCGCCCCUGAGGCCAGUUAAGGUCAGACAUCCUGGGACUGCCCUUUUCUGCCAUUCCGAAUAAAACCCAACUUUGAGAAAUCAUCACCAGACCAUGUUUUUCUCCAUUAGGAGGGGGACAAAGGUUGCAGACCAUUGCUGAAUCUUUUAACCAUACUACGUGGUUAAACUCUUAGACUAUCGAUACCAACAGAAUGAGAACAAGUCUUUGAUAUUAAUUACUAGUCUGCAGCUAGGAAUUUGGUAUCAUUGAACGCGAAGAACGACAACCG
ensembl:lncRNA